rnacentral:rRNA from 1 species
GAUCAUGGCUCAGGAUGAACGCUGGCGGUAUGCCUAACACAUGCAAGUCGUACGAGAGUUUUUAACUCUAGUGGCGGACGGGUGAGUAACACGUGAGAAUUUGCCUUUAGGAGGGGAUAACAAUUGGAAACGAAUGCUAAUACCGCAUAUUCUGUGAGCAGGAAAGCAGGGGAUCGCAAGACCUUGCGCUGAUUGAGCGGCCGAUAUCAGAUUAGCUAGUUGGUGGGGUAAAGGCCUACCAAGGCUACGAUCUGUAGCGGGUCUGAGAGGAUGAUCCGCCACACUGGAACUGAGACACGGUCCAGACUCCUACGGGAGGCAGCAGUGGGGAAUUUUGGACAAUGGACGCAAGUCUGAUCCAGCCAUUCCGCGUGCAGGACGAAGGCCUUCGGGUUGUAAACUGCUUUUGUACAGAACGAAAAGGUCUCUAUUAAUACUAGGGGCUCAUGACGGUACUGUAAGAAUAAGCACCGGCUAACUACGUG